rnacentral:snoRNA from 1 species
AAUAAUGUACUUUCAGGGAUCAUUUCUGUAGCUCAUUACUAGAGAGGUUUCUCUGAUUCUGUAGAGCACCCGAAGCCACGAGAGGAGACAGAGGAUCAUCUCCUGAGCAUGAAACCUACUCUAGGUGUUUCUUUUGUGGCUGCCUUUGACCACUGACGAUCAUUCUUCUCUUCCCUAGGAGAGGGAGAGGAUAUAGUCUGAG